rnacentral:rRNA from 1 species
GGACAGCUAAUACCGCAUAAGUCCGGGAGGAGAAAGGUGCAACAGCAUCGGCAGAAGAGCGGCCCGCGGUCCAUCAGCUAGUUGGUGAGGUAAGGGCUUACCAAGGCGACGACGGAUAGCCGGCGUGAGAGCGUGGCCGGCCACAAGGACACUGAGAUACGGGUCCUACUCCUACGGGAGGCAGCAGUGCGGAAUUUUAGAUAAUGGAGGGAACUCUGAUCUAGCGACGCCGCGUGCAGGAAGAAGGUCUUCGGAUUGUAAACUGCUGUGGUAAGGGAAAAAUGCUAUGUAGAGUGGAAAGCUACAUAGAGGGAUGGUACCUUACUAGAAAGCCCCGGCUAACUACCUGCCAGCAGCCGCGGUAAUACGUAGGGGGCGAGCGUUACCCGGAAUCACUGGGCGUAAAGGGAGCGUAGGUGGCCUAACAUGUCAACUGUGAAAACCCGGAGCUCAACUCCGGGACUUGCAGUUGAAACUGGUAGGCUUGAGGACGGUAGAGGAAGACGGAACUGCCAGUGUAGGGGUAAAAUCCUUAGAUAUUGGCAGGAACGCCGGUGACGAAGGUGGUUUUCUGGGCCGGUUCUGACACUGAUGCUCGAAAGCCAGGGGAGCGAACGGGAUUAGAUACCCCGGUAGUCCUGGCCCUAAACGAUGUUCACUAGGUGUGGGGAGCGGAAAGCUCUCCGUGCUAAAGCUAACGCGAUAAGUGAACCGCCUGGGGAGUACGCCCGCAAGGGUGAAACUCAAAGGAAUUGACGGGGACCCGCACAAGCGGUGGAGCGUGUGGUUUAAUUCGAUGCUAAGCGAAGGACCUUACCAAGGUUUGACAUGCUAAUGGUAGUGAAUUGAAAGAGGAACGACCACACUAUGUGUGGAGUUAGCACAGGUGGUGCACGGCCGUCGUCAGCUCGUGUCGUGAGGUGUUGGGUUAAGUCCCGCAACGGGCGCAACCCCUGCUCUUAGUUACCAGCGGUAAGGCCGGGUACUCUAAGAGGACCGCCGCCGACGAGGCGGAGGAAGGGGGGGAUGAAGUCAGGUAUCGUGCCCCUUAUAUCUUGGGCGACACACGCGCUACAAUGGGUUGGACAGAAGGGACCAAGACAGCGAUGUGGAGGAAAUCCUCAAACC